GUUUACGACUUAGCAGAGAUGCUUUGGUGCCUUCGGGAACUCUGAGACAGGUGCUGCAUGGCUGUCGUCAGCUCGUGUUGUGAAAUGUUGGGUUAAGUCCCGCAACGAGCGCAACCCUUAUCCUUUGUUGCCAGCGGUUCGGCCGGGAACUCAAAGGAGACUGCCAGUGAUAAACUGGAGGAAGGUGGGGAUGACGUCAAGUCAUCAUGGCCCUUACGAGUAGGGCUACACACGUGCUACAAUGGCGCAUACAAAGAGAAGCGACCUCGCGAGAGCAAGCGGACCUCAUAAAGUGCGUCGUAGUCCGGAUUGGAGUCUGCAACUCGACUCCAUGAAGUCGGAAUCGCUAGUAAUCGUAGAUCAGAAUGCUACGGUGAAUACGUUCCCGGGUCUUGUACACACCGA
rnacentral:rRNA from 1 species